AAUGAACGUUGGCGGCGUGGAUUAGGCAUGCAAGUCGAACGGGCCAGCAAUGGUCAGUGGCGAAAGGGAGAGGAUUACUUAGGUACCUGCCUCUAGGUUCGGGAUAGCCAAGGGAAACUUUGGGUAAUACCGAAUGUGGUCUCCGGAUCAAAGGUGUGAUUCCGCCUGGAGAGGGGCCUGAGUCCUAUUAGCUAGUUGGUGAGGUAACGGCUCACCAAGGCGAAGAUGGGUAGCAGGUGUGAGAGCACGACCUGCCUCACUGGGACUGAGAUACUGCCCAGACACCUACGGGUGGCUGCAGUCGAGAAUCUUUGGCAAUGGGGGCAACCCUGACCAAGCGACGCCGCGUGUGGGAUGAAGGCCUUCGGGUUGUAAACCACUUUUCCAGAGGAUGAAAUGCCAGGGGGUUAUCCCUCGGGUUUGACAGAUUUUGGGAAUAAGCUCGGGCUAAGUUCGUGCCAGCAGCCGCGGUAAUAC
rnacentral:rRNA from 1 species